GGCGCCGCGCCAGGACGGAGCGGGCCGGGGCAGAGCCGGGCCGGCCCGAGCGGGGCCGUUGCGGGCGGCGGGGCCGCGCGGAGGCGGAGGCGGCCAUGGAGGGGCUGGCGGGGUACGUGUACAAGGCGGCCAGCGAGGGCCGCGUGCUGACGCUGGCCGCGCUGCUGCUGAACCGCUCCGAGAGCGACAUCAAGUACCUGCUGGGCUACGUGAGCCAGCACGGCGGGCAGCGCUCCACGCCGCUCAUCAUCGCCGCCCGCAACGGGCACGCCAAGGUGGUGCGGCUGCUGCUCGAGCAUUACCGCGUCCACACGCAGCAGACCGGCACCGUCCGCUUCGAUGGCUUCGUCAUCGACGGGGCCACCGCGCUGUGGUGCGCGGCCGGGGCCGGCCACUUCGAGGUGGUCAAGCUGCUGGUGAGCCACGGCGCCAACGUCAACCACACCACGGUGACCAACUCGACGCCGCUGCGGGCGGCCUGCUUCGAUGGCCGGCUGGACAUCGUCAAGUACCUGGUGGAGAACAACGCCAACAUCAGCAUCGCCAACAAGUACGACAACACCUGCCUGAUGAUCGCGGCCUACAAGGGCCACACGGACGUGGUGCGGUACCUCCUGGAGCAGCACGCCGACCCCAACGCCAAGGCCCACUGCGGGGCCACCGCCCUGCACUUCGCCGCCGAGGCCGGCCACCUGGAGAUCGUCAGGGAGCUGGUCAAGUGGAAGGCGGCCAUGAUGGUCAACGGCCACGGCAUGACGCCGCUCAAAGUGGCCGCCGAGAGCUGCAAGGCCGACGUGGUGGAGCUGCUGCUGGCUCACGCCGACUGCGACAGGAGGAGCAGGAUCGAAGCUCUGGAGCUGCUGGGGGCCUCGUUUGCCAACGACAGGGAGAACUACGACAUCUUGAAGACUUACCACUAUUUAUAUUUAGCCAUGCUGGAGAGGUACCGCGACAGCGAGAACGUCAUCGAGAAGGAGGUGCUUCCCCAGAUCGAGGCUUACGGGAACAGGUCGGAAUGCAGGACCCCUCAGGAAUUAGAGUCCAUUAGGCAGGACAGGGAUGCCCUUCACAUGGAAGGCCUCAUAGUGCGGGAGAGAAUCCUGGGCUCGGACAAUAUCGACGUCUCCCACCCCAUCAUUUACCGGGGCGCGGUCUACGCGGACAACAUGGAGUUCGAGCAGUGCAUCAAGCUCUGGCUCCACGCCCUGCACCUGCGGCAGAAAGGCAACAGGAACACCCACAAGGACCUGCUGAGGUUCGCUCAGGUCUUCUCCCAGAUGAUCCACCUGAACGAGCCCGUGAAAGCCAAGGACAUCGAGAGCGUCCUGCGCUGCAGCGUGCUGGAGAUCGAGCAGGGCAUGGCGCGCAUCAAGACCACCCCGGACGCCGACAUCCACACGGCCAUGGACAACUACGAGUGCAACAUCUUCACCUUCCUCUACCUGGUGUGCAUCUCCACCAAGACGCAGUGCAGCGAGGACGACCAGUCCCGCAUCAACAAGCAGAUCUACAACCUGAUCCACCUGGACCCGCGCACGCGCGACGGCUCCAGCCUGCUGCACCACGCCGUCAACUCCGGCACGCCCGUGGACGACUUCCACACCAACGACGUGUGCAGCUUCCCCAACGCCCUGGUCACCAAGCUGCUGCUGGACUGCGGCGCCGACGUCAACGCCGUGGACAACGAGGGGAACAGCCCUCUGCACAUCAUCGUGCAGUACCACCGGCCCAUCAGCGACUUCUUGACGUUGCACUCCAUCAUCAUCAGCCUGGUGGAGGCCGGCGCCCACACGGACAUGACCAACAAGCAGAAGAAAACCCCUCUGGAUAAAAGUACCACCGGGGUGUCCGAAAUCCUCCUUAAAACUCAAAUGAAGCUGAGUCUCAAGUGCCUGGCUGCCCGCGCCGUGCGGAUCUACAACAUCAGCUACCAAAACCAGAUCCCCAGAACUCUGGAGGAGUUUGUCCAGUUCCACUAGGCCGUGUCCAACCCUUUGUGGUGGUGCUAUCCCGGGACGACACCAGACAGCAGAAUGCACCCGUGUCCAUGAAGCUGUUUUUCUCCAUUCCUUUGGUUUUGGGUUCCUCUGGAUUCCGUCUGCGGCCUCAGUUCUCGGGUGGAGAUGGUGGUGGAGGGCGGGGGGCAGGAAAAGCCACAUCGUUGUCCUGUAGUUGAAUCCGAUGUUUGAGAUUUUGGUCCUUUUUUUGAUUUAAAGAAUCCCUUCGUUAGCUCUUGGUUUUCUAAACGACACGAGAAGAGUCCCCCAGGUAACUCCUGUCGAACGUUUUGUGUCCGAGACGAUUCGCAGAAUUGGAUUUUAAACUCCUCGCAGUGAGGUGGGAGAAGAAGAAUUGGGAAUUCUGUGGUAGUUGGGUUAAAAGUGGAGUGUCCACCCCCGGAGCAGAGCGUUGCUCUCAUACCUCACCGUGCUUUUAUGCCUUUCAGCUCGUGCUGAAGACGUUGGUAACGUUUUAAAAAGUUGUGUUUUAAAUCAAAAUUUACAGCUACAGACGUGAGGGAUGCCCUGUUAGGAAAUGCAGGUGGAAAUUCAGCUCUUGAGGGGCUGAAUUCCAUUUUCAAGCUCUUCACCGACACUGCUCCAGUAAGUAUUGAAUAACCUUUGGACAAAAACCCACUUCCACGCCGACCGAAAAUAACCGGAAUCAUCGUUUCUUUUUCCGUAGCUCCGUCGCUCCUUUCCAAACAUCAUGCAUGGAUCCCUAGAAACUGGUCUGUCCAGCUGCACUCUUGGAUUCCAGAUGCUGUAUCUUCCUAACGGAGCCGUCUGCCGCCAAAGAGAGUCUUCCUUGAACCUGGCUUUUCCAAGAAGCGUUGGAGUCUGUGCCUCCCUGAAUUGGGCUAGAGGAUUUUUCAUGGUUUUUACUCCUUCCAGUAGGAAAAAAAAUCUCUUCUUAAAACUGAUUUUUACGAAAAAAAAAAAAAAAAAAAAUUUCUCCUCUCGUCAGCCUCUUUGCUGAUGAGCGAGUGAUUGUACGGGGACGUUGUCGCUUGAGAGCUUUGGGAGAAGUGGCAGAUGCUCCGACAGGAAAAUGUCACUUGUUGGGACAAGGCUCCUGAACCCUCUGUUCCUUUCCCACGCAGCUUUUUAACCGUCAGGAUGAACGAAUGUUCCGUGGGUUUUUUUUUUUUUUAAAAACAAUCCAGGUAGAACUUUCAGGCGAGAUUUGGGGCACACGUUUCUAUUUGUAUGACAAAGAAAUAAACAUUGAAUGUGGAAUUA